UUGAACUUCCCAGACUCCAGAACUACUCCUGCCCCUGCCACGAGAACACACCCUUUCCAGUUUGCUGGAGAAAUAUAAGAGAAGUCCAGUGAAAGAGAGCUGAGUUUCCCCAAUGAUGCCAUCAAGAUGAACUAACUACAGUUAACCAGCCAGCUGAUAGCAGAUGCAUGAGUGAGCCCAGCUGAGAGCAGUUAACAACAUAGGCUCUGGUAACAUAAGGAGCAGGUCAUUUCAACACACACUGGCACACAAGAGCAGAUCUGGAACUAUGAAAGAGAGGAAUCUAGACCCAUCAGGUUGUGCAAGCAUGGCACGUGCAUCUGUUUGGCUUGUGGUGAGGCCUCAGGAAGCUUACAGUCAUGGUGGAAGGCAAAGAGGGAGCCAGUACAUCACGUGAACUCGUAGAGUGAGAACUCAUUCACUACCAUGAAGACAACACCAAGCCAUUCCUGAGUGCCUACAAUAGUUCCUGGUAUGUAGAAGGUAUACAAUAAAUAUUGGCGGAGUGAAGGAACAAAUGGGAUUUGCUUGAUUCUGCUGCAGAAGACUAAGAAAAAGACAUAAAUGAAUAAAUAACUAGUAGAAUGUUAACACAAUCAGAAAAAGGACCAUUUCUUUUCAUUUGGAUGUCUCAAAUCUAUUUGUUGUUUUUGUUGUUGUUGUUUUUCUGGCUGGGCUUGAAAUGUAGGCAUGCAGCCAGGAGGCUCCAUGCUGACUAAUGAGAUAGAGGUACCCAUUUAGCCCAGCAAUAUUCAUACAUUGUAUAUGCAUUCAUUUUUCUCUAGUGACUUUUUAAUAUAUUUUGGUGAAGAUAUUCCCAAGAUAAUGAAGAUAUGUUGAGUGGGCAUUAAAAGUGAUGAGUCUUUUUUUCCAUUAUCAAAGACAAAUACAGGUGUGUGAUGUAUGCAGAGAAUUAGAAGUAGGGAAAAAAAUGAGGGAAUCCAAAAUAAUGAAAAGAAAUUAAAGCUCUCCAAUAAUCGAAAGAAAGGCCAAACUGAAAACAUAAAUCUCCAGACUCUGCAAGGAUUUAUACUGAUGUGGGGCAUGUGGACCAAUGGCUUUCAGGAUGUGAUUCAUUUUGAAAAAAGUGUCAUUU
ensembl:lncRNA ASMER1 adipocyte associated metabolic related lncRNA 1